rnacentral:rRNA from 1 species
AAGCGUGCGCAGGCGGUUAUAUAAGACAGAUGUGAAAUCCCCGGGCUCAACCUGGGAACUGCAUUUGUGACUGUAUAGCUAGAGUACGGCAGAGGGGGAUGGAAUUCCGCGUGUAGCAGUGAAAUGCGUAGAUAUGCGGAGGAACACCGAUGGCGAAGGCAAUCCCCUGGGCCUGUACUGACGCUCAUGCACGAAAGCGUGGGGAGCAAACAGGAUUAGAUACCCCCAGU